AUGCUUAUUUGGAGCAUAUAUACAAUCCCAACAAGCCAAUGGAUCGAGGAGCUCGCCAAGGGUGACAUCGUAAAGAAUUCAACUCUUUGAGCAAUUGUGGUACCCAACAUCUUAAGAGUGCAGACAUCAAGCCACCAACCACACAUAAGGGGAAAUACUCCGAGUUCUAUCACCAAAAGGAAAGCAACUUUGACCAUGGUCAUGAGAUGCUUCAUUCCAGAAAAGAACUGCCUGCAUAAAGAUGGAAUGGCCUCUAGUAUUGCAGCGAUGCCAUAG
rnacentral:rRNA from 1 species